GUGCUACAAAUCAUAUUGGACACGGUAGUCCAGGGAGAAGGACGUCAAUAUACUUCUCUUGUUAUAUCUAAAUUGUAUCACCAUUGAAUUCUUUAUUAUCCACAUGGCUGGCACUGUGAUGACAAUUUUCAGUUUUACGGUCCUGCUUUUCUGGGUAAUUCGCAACGUGGCCAUUAUGUAUGAAUUUUGUGUAUCAAGUCUUAUAAGUAACAAAGUGUGUAUGUUGGAAUAGGUCCUGUCCGCCUGUGUAUUUCUUGUGAUUUCCCAACAACCUGUUAUCCCGAUGAGCUCGCUUAUGUGUGGUGUCCUACCUGUGGACCCUUAAGACGUGUGUGUGUUGAAAGGGAUGUUUUCUUCGUAGAACACGUCUUGUAGCAGGGACGGAGUGUGUAAAGGACAAAACAGUAGUGACAAACCAAGGACCGUUUCUUGUAGAACACGUCACAGGGACGGAGUGUAUGAAGGACAAACCAGUAGUGACAAAUCAUACCCAUCAACAUCUUAUUUUCAUACUUGUAUCUUGAUUAUUAAUUCCAUUAAAUAUGUAAG